UCAAGAGGGAAACAACCCAGACUACCAGCUAAGGUCCCUAAAUCUUACUUAAGUGGAAAACGAUGUGAAGUUACUUAAACAACCAGGAGGUUGGCUUAGAAGCAGCCAUCCUUUAAAGAAAGCGUAAUAGCUCACUGGUCUAGUGAUUUUGCGCGGAAAAUAUAACGGGGCUAAAGUAAGUACCGAAGCUGUAGACUUGCGCACAACUUAGAUUAUUUAAGUUUAGAAUAUGAGAAACUAAGUUAUGUUUAGUUAUAUUUUUACUGAUUUUUAUAGAGUAAAGAUAGAAAUAAAACUUAGUAAAAUCAGUAAAAAUAUUCUUAGGCUAAAGUUAAGUAGUUUAAGUUGUGUGCAAGUGGUAGGAGAGCGUUCUAUUUGCGUCGAAGGUAUACCGGUAAGGAGUGCUGGAGCGAAUAGAAGUGAGCAUGCAGGCAUGAGUAGCGAUAAUUAAUGUGAGAAUCAUUAACGCCGUAAACCCAAGGUUUCCUACGCGAUGCUCGUCAUCGUAGGGUUAGUCGGGUCCUAAGUCGAGUCCGAAAGGGGUAGACGAUGGCAAAUUGGUUAAUAUUCCAAUACCAACAUUAGUGUGCGAUGGAAGGACGCUUAGGGCUAAGGGGGCUAGCGGAUGGAAGUGCUAGUCUAAGGUCGUAGGAGGUUAUACAGGCAAAUCCGUAUAACAAUACUCCGAGAACUGAAAGGCUUUUUGAAGUCUUCGGAUGGAUAGAAGAACCCCUGAUGCCGUCGAGCCAAGAAAAGUUUCUAAGUUUAGCUAAUGUUGCCCGUACCGUAAACCGACACAGGUGGGUGGGAUGAGUAUUCUAAGGCGCGUGGAAGAACUCUCUUUAAGGAACUCUGCAAAAUAGCACCGUAUCUUCGGUAUAAGGUGUGGUUAGCUUUGUAUUAGGAUUUACUCCGAAAGCAAGGAAACUUACAACAAAGAGUCCCUCCCGACUGUUUACCAAAAACACAGCACUCUGCUAACUCGUAAGAGGAUGUAUAGGGUGUGACGCCUGCCCGGUGCUCGAAGGUUAAUUGAUGGGGUUAGCAUUAGCGAAGCUCUUGAUCGAAGCCCGAGUAAACGGCGGCCGUAACUAUAACGGUCCUAAGGUAGCGAAAUUCCUUGUCGGUUAAAUACCGACCUGCAUGAAUGGCGUAACGAGAUGGGAGCUGUCUCAAAGAGGGAUCCAGUGAAAUUGUAGUGGAGGUGAAAAUUCCUCCUACCCGCGGCAAGACGGAAAGACCCCGUGGACCUUUACUACAGCUUGACACUGCUACUUGGAUAAGAAUGUGCAGGAUAGGUGGGAGGCUUUGAGUAUAUGACGCCAGUUGUAUAUGAGCCAUUGUUGAGAUACCACUCUUUCUUAUUUGGGUAGCUAACCAGCUUGAGUUAUCCUCAAGUGGGACAAUGUCUGGUGGGUAGUUUGACUGGGGCGGUCGCCUCCCAAAUAAUAACGGAGGCUUACAAAGGUUGGCUCAGAACGGUUGGAAAUCGUUCGUAGAGUAUAAAGGUAUAAGCCAGCUUAACUGCAAGACAUACAAGUCAAGCAGAGACGAAAGUCGGUCUUAGUGAUCCGGUGGUUCUGUGUGGAAGGGCCAUCGCUCAAAGGAUAAAAGGUACCCCGGGGAUAACAGGCUGAUCUCCCCCAAGAGCUCACAUCGACGGGGAGGUUUGGCACCUCGAUGUCGGCUCAUCGCAUCCUGGGGCUGGAGCAGGUCCCAAGGGUAUGGCUGUUCGCCAUUUAAAGCGGUACGCGAGCUGGGUUCAGAACGUCGUGAGACAGUUCGGUCCCUAUCUGCCGUGGGCGUAAGAAGAUUGAAGAGAUUUGACCCUAGUACGAGAGGACCGGGUUGAACAAACCACUGGUGUAGCUGUUGUUCUGCCAAGAGCAUCGCAGCGUAGCUAAGUUUGGAAAGGAUAAACGCUGAAAGCAUCUAAGCGUGAAGCCAACUCUAAGAUGAAUCUUCUCUAAGCUCUCUAGAAGACUACUAGUUUGAUAGGCUGGGUGUGUAAUGGAUGAAAGUCCUUUAGCUGACCAGUACUAAUAGAGCGUUUGGCUUAUCUUUAAUAAAGCAU
rnacentral:rRNA from 1 species